rnacentral:rRNA from 1 species
UUAAAUUGAAGAGUUUGAUCAUGGCUCAGAUUGAACGCUGGCGGCAGGCCUAACACAUGCAAGUCGAACGGUAACAGAAAGCAGCUUGCUGCUUUGCUGACGAGUGGCGGACGGGUGAGUAAUGUCUGGGAAACUGCCUGAUGGAGGGGGAUAACUACUGGAAACGGUAGCUAAUACCGCAUAACGUCGCAAGACCAAAGAGGGGGACCUUAGGGCCUCUUGCCAUCGGAUGUGCCCAGAUGGGAUUAGCUAGUAGGUGGGGUAACGGCUCACCUAGGCGACGAUCCCUAGCUGGUCUGAGAGGAUGACCAGCCACACUGGAACUGAGACACGGUCCAGACUCCUACGGGAGGCAGCAGUGGGGAAUAUUGCACAAUGGGCGCAAGCCUGAUGCAGCCAUGCCGCGUGUAUGAAGAAGGCCUUCGGGUUGUAAAGUACUUUCAGCGGGGAGGAAGGGAGUAAAGUUAAUACCUUUGCUCAUUGACGUUACCCGCAGAAGAAGCACCGGCUAACUCCGUGCCAGCAGCCGCGGUAAUACGGAGGGUGCAAGCGUUAAUCGGAAUUACUGGGCGUAAAGCGCACGCAGGCGGUUUGUUAAGUCAGAUGUGAAAUCCCCGGGCUCAACCUGGGAACUGCAUCUGAUACUGGCAAGCUUGAGUCUCGUAGAGGGGGGUAGAAUUCCAGGUGUAGCGGUGAAAUGCGUAGAGAUCUGGAGGAAUACCGGUGGCGAAGGCGGCCCCCUGGACGAAGACUGACGCUCAGGUGCGAAAGCGUGGGGAGCAAACAGGAUUAGAUACCCUGGUAGUCCACGCCGUAAACGAUGUCGACUUGGAGGUUGUGCCCUUGAGGCGUGGCUUCCGGAGCUAACGCGUUAAGUCGACCGCCUGGGGAGUACGGCCGCAAGGUUAAAACUCAAAUGAAUUGACGGGGGCCCGCACAAGCGGUGGAGCAUGUGGUUUAAUUCGAUGCAACGCGAAGAACCUUACCUGGUCUUGACAUCCACGGAAGUUUUCAGAGAUGAGAAUGUGCCUUCGGGAACCGUGAGACAGGUGCUGCAUGGCUGUCGUCAGCUCGUGUUGUGAAAUGUUGGGUUAAGUCCCGCAACGAGCGCAACCCUUAUCCUUUGUUGCCAGCGGUCCGGCCGGGAACUCAAAGGAGACUGCCAGUGAUAAACUGGAGGAAGGUGGGGAUGACGUCAAGUCAUCAUGGCCCUUACGACCAGGGCUACACACGUGCUACAAUGGCGCAUACAAAGAGAAGCGACCUCGCGAGAGCAAGCGGACCUCAUAAAGUGCGUCGUAGUCCGGAUUGGAGUCUGCAACUCGACUCCAUGAAGUCGGAAUCGCUAGUAAUCGUGGAUCAGAAUGCCACGGUGAAUACGUUCCCGGGCCUUGUACACACCGCCCGUCACACCAUGGGAGUGGGUUGCAAAAGAAGUAGGUAGCUUAACCUUCGGGAGGGCGCUUACCACUUUGUGAUUCAUGACUGGGGUGAAGUCGUAACAAGGUAACCGUAGGGGAACCUGCGGUUGGAUCACCUCCUUACCUUAAA